CCUACGGGAGGCAGCAGUCGAGAAUCAUUCACAAUGGGGGAAACCCUGAUGGUGCGACGCCGCGUGGGGGAAUGAAGGUCUUCGGAUUGUAAACUCCUGUCAUGUGGGAGCAAAUUAAAAAGAUAGUACCACAAGAGGAAGCGACGGCUAACUCUGUGACAGCAGCCGCGGUAAUACAGAGGUCUCAAGCGUUGUUCGGAAUCACUGGGCGUAACGCGUGCGUAGGCUGUUGCGUAAGUCGUGUGUGAAAGGCGCGGGCUCAACCCGCGGACGGCACGUGAUACUGAGUGACUAGAGUAAUGGAGGGGGAAGCGGAAUGCUCGGUGUAGCAGUGAAAUGCGUAGAUAUUAAGAGGAACACUCGUGGCGAAGGCGGGUUCCUGGACAGUAACUGACGCUGAGGCACGAAAGCGAGGGGAGCGAACGGGAUUAGAUACCCUAGUAGUC
rnacentral:rRNA from 1 species